rnacentral:rRNA from 1 species
UACGGGGGGGGGCAAGCGUUGUUCGGAAUUACUGGGCGUAAAGGGCUCGUAGGCGGCCAACUAAGUCAGACGUGAAAUCCCCUCGGCUUAACCGGGGAACUGCGUCUGAUACUGGAUGGCUUGAGUUUGGGAGAGGGAUGCGGAAUUCCAGGUGUAGCGGUGAAAUGCGUAGAUAUCUGGAGGAACACCGGUGGCGAAGGCGGCAUCCUGGACCAACACUGACGCUGAGUGAGCGAAAGCCAGGGGAGCAAACGGG